rnacentral:lncRNA from 1 species
UGGCCGCCGCCCGGGUGCUGACGGCCCAGGCCUGUUUUAAACUUGGUCUCGCCGGCGCCCUCCCUUUUCCGCCGCGGCGCGCUCCAGGGUAAGUCGGUCCCGGUGGCUGCUGGCCAGAGUCCCCUGCGUGGCCAUGUGGCCCCAGGGCUAGCCCACCGCCCCUUCUCGGCGCGCUCCUCCCUGCCCCGGCGUCCACCCCACCCCGCCGCCCCGGCGAGACCCUGGUGAGCCCGUCGGGCUGGGACCCGGCGGAAGCACAGGGCGGGACGGCUUCCAGGGUCUUGGCGAGGACCCCGCGCGCCCUCAGUAGUCCUGGGGACAGGGACACAGUCUGUUUAUGGAGUGAACGCGAUCAGAGGCCCCGUGGAGUUGAAGAUGCUGAUGAUAUUAAGGUCCCAUGCCUGGAGGAGUCAGUGAAACUUGUGAAGAAGAUAAGAGCAGAGAAAAGAGCCAGCUGACAAAAAAUUGGUUUUGCAAUUGAACAUCACUUCAAUGGAGGAGGGGAGUGGUUAUCUGCCUUUGAGGCUUCCUGAACCCAAGCAAGAAGAUUUUCUUCUUCCUUCAUAAUCGUAAGUACUUUGAAGAGAACAUUAGAAUGGAGAAGGUUUCUGAGUAACUAAAUGAGGACCUAGAAGCAGCAACAACUGCUGCAUUUGGCUCUUGAGCAGGGAAGUCCAUUGGUUAGGUGACCUUGGGAAGCCUGGCCAGUGAUAACACUUCUUGAGGAAAGUCAUACUCAGAUUGUGAACAGAUAAAUAGCCAGAGAUAGGUUUGAAAGGUUUAUUUUUAUCAUGUGCUCAUAAAGAUUGCCUUUUCAAAACCGACCUUGAAUUUGUAAACUGAGACGUUCGGAUUGCGGUAUUGCAGGG